ACGGAAGCUCAGCUGCUUUUGCAAGCAUGCUUUGGAUCCUGUUCCUCCUCACACUCCUCACUUACUGGACAGGUUCCUUUGCCCAGUAUGUGUUGACCCAACCACCCUCCGUUUCUGUGCCUCCGGAACAAAUUGCCCAAAUCAAUUGUUUGGGGGAAAACAUUGGGGGAAAGUAUGUGCACUGGUACCAGCAGAAACCAGCCAAGGCCCCCGUCCUCAUUAUAUAUAGGGAUAAAAACCGACCCUCAGGGAUCUCAGACCGAUUCUCCGGGUCCAACUCUGGCAACACGGCCACACUAAACAUCUCAAGAGCCCAAGCAGAGGACGAGGCUGAUUAUUACUGCCAGGUGUGGGAUAGCAACACAGAUCAGUGA